rnacentral:tRNA from 1 species
GCUAAUUUGGCAGAAAAGUGCUUUAAAUUUAGAAUUUAAAAAUGUAAAUAUAUACUACAGUUAGUA